rnacentral:misc_RNA from 1 species
GCCUGAGUUCAUCCCCCAAAUUGGCAGAUCUCAUUGCUAGCCCCUCAUCUUUGAUCACAUCUAAUGAUGCAAUAGCAACAGCACUGGCCAAAGGAUUGCCCCCACAUGCUCUCCAGGUUGAAUACAGAGCAUUACAUCUUUGUCUGCCAGCACCGCACUUACUGGUAUUACUCCACCACCCAAUGCUUUUCCUAGUAUUACUACAUCAGGGCGAACUUGUUCCCAAUCACAAGCCAGCAUUUUUCCUGUACGUGCUAAGCCACUUUGAAUUUCAUCAGCAAUCAUUAGAACAUUAUAUUUUGAACAAAGAUCUCUUACAGCUUUUAGAUAACCAUCCGGGGGAAUUAUAACCCCCUGCCUCUCCUUGAAUGGGUUCAAAAAGAAAUCCAGCUAUUUGACCUCCUUUUUCUUUGAAGAUUUUCUCUAGGGCAACUUCAUCACCAAAAUCAACCUUGAGAU